AUAUGAAUCAAUGAAUCAAUAUGCACUUAUUAAUAUAUAAUUAUUAUAUUGAUUUGUAAUCAACAGGAUGGACUCAGGAUCCAGAUAAAAUUAUAAGACGGAAUCACUUCUCGGAUGGCCUUAUUCUGUCUCCCAGAUAUCUUGUCACUUGAAAGGACCUCUGACCUCGUCACCAUGGAGGAAGGAGUCAUUCUACAGUAGAGCCUAUGAGAGAACAGAAGGCAAAUCCUUACAAAGAUGUGACGCUCUUCUUUUAUCCUCAGGAAAGGGUCUUCUCCACACUCUUCAAUUAGUGUCCGCUCUUUGGAAAUGUGGAAACCUUGUAGCAUCCUGGAGUGUUCUUCCUUCCCUUGAUAUUUGUCCCCCAGGGAUCCAGUUGUCAAACAUUUACCAACACAUCCCUAAACUCCCUAGACUGUGUUCUACAAAAUCUUUGCAUUGAAUUUGAUGAAUUAAUUUCUAAACUAGUGAUAUUAAGCCACAUGGAGCAAUUUGUUAGGGGAAGUACUAGAAGGAAUGACGG
rnacentral:lncRNA from 1 species